AUUACUGAUCAUGCUUUGGUGCUUGAAUCUCAAGAUAAUAGGUGCCUUUUCCAUGCCUAGGACAGAUAGAGAGAUUGAAGACAUUCCAGCAUCAAACAAACUGGAAUUGCCAGCAAGAUUUCAGAGAGGGGAAUAAGGCUUUUGUAUAAAAGACGGGGAAACUGAGGCACAAAGUAGGCCUGUGUCUUGCCCCAGGUUACUCAGCUGGCCAGUGGCAGAGCCAGGGAUAGAAUUCAGGUCUCCUGAGUCCCAGCCUCACGUCUCUUCUGCAGAUGUGCCCUUGAGGGUUUCCUCCUGCACACCAGCUGAGCGGCUCCGAGUGAUAAGGAGACAAACCAGGAGAAGUAAGGAAAACAUGUUCAGGGAGGUGUUACAUUCGUCAGAUGCAGCUGAUAGCAAGCAGAGAGCAUGGAGAGAGACUAUAAAUGAAAGACUGAGAAUGGAUAGCCAGGAGAGGAAAUAGGGGCAGGAGUGGAUGAUACAGGGGCAGGAGCAGAUGAUACAGCUUCUGGAGGAUCAAACAGACAUGCUGAGGUCCCUGAUUGUGCUCCAGGUGGAACACAUGCAUGCUUACCCCCCUCUGUAGCCCAUACAGAACUGCCUUCCAUGCCCUCCCCGAUGAUUAAAAAUGUACUUAUAGAAUGAAAA